rnacentral:rRNA from 1 species
UACGGAAGGCAGCAGUGGGGAAUAUUGCACAAUGGGCGCAAGCCUGAUGCAGCCAUGCCGCGUGUAUGAAGAAGGCCUUCGGGUUGUAAAGUACUUUCAGUCGUGAGGAAGGUGUUAAGGUUAAUAACCUUAGCAAUUGACGUUAGCGACAGAAGAAGCACCGGCUAACUCCGUGCCAGCAGCCGCGGUAAUACGGAGGGUGCGAGCGUUAAUCGGAAUUACUGGGCGUAAAGGGCACGCAGGCGGUUAAUUAAGUUGGAUGUGAAAUCCCCGGGCUUAACCUGGGAAUGGCAUUCAAGACUGGUUAGCUAGAGUCUUGUAGAGGGGGUAGAAUUCCAUGUGUAGCGGUGAAAUGCGUAGAGAUGUGGAGGAAUACCGGUGACGAAGGCGGCCCCUGGGACAAAGACUGACGCUCAUAUGCGAAAGCGUGGGGAGCAAAC